rnacentral:lncRNA from 1 species
AUUGUUUUUUGAGCAGUUCUUAGAUUUAUAUACUUUCAGUAUUUAUUUCAUCAUUUAAUAAGAGUUUAUUGAAUACUUAAACUAUGUAUAUGGUACAGUUUUUUUUGUUUUUUUUUUUGUUUUUUGUUUUUUUAUGCCACGAAGUGUGUUUUAUUUUCAUUAUUCAUACAAAUAAUUUUCUAUAAUAUUCCAGGGCAAACCGGAGAAUUUGGCAGUCCGAUUGGGGGGGUCUCGAAGAUGACGGGGGUAGGAAAUCCUCCAGGAUUUUAGGAAAUUUCACUCCGCUUCUCCUGCUCAAUGGUCUCUUUGGUCGGCAGGGUGUUCUUCUCCUGCGUCUCCGUUUUCUUCAGCUUGGCCUUAUCGAAGCUGGCGAUUUCCCCCAUGUCUGGUUUGUCUGCCAUUUUCUUAAAACAAUCCGUGUAGUCGGGUUCCGAGCCCGGGAUCCUGGUGCUCCCACUCGCGUUGCAGUUUUAAACACUUAGAAUAAGUAAAAUUUUUUAAAAAUCUGUGCCUUCAGGAGGCUUACUAUCCAGAGAGAAGAAAAAGAUAAUGAUCAGUAAAUACAACAAACAAAGAGAGUAUGUUUGAAGGUGAUAAGUGCUUGAAAAGAUAAGAAGAUCUCAAAAGGAGAGCACUGAAAGGGAGACCAAGCAGGAGGAUUAGGAGUUACACUGUAUUUAAAAUAAUGACUCUCGGCUGGGCUGGGGCGGUGGCUCACAACCUGUAAUCCUAGCACUUUGGGAGGCCGAGGCAGGCGGAUCAUGAGGUCAGGAGAUGGAGACCAUCUUGGCUAACAAAGUGAAACCCCAUCUCUACUAAAAAUACAAAAAAUUAGCUAGGCGUGGUG